AUACGAAGGGCCCAAGCGUUGCGCGAAGUUACUGGGCUUAAAGGGUGCGUAGGCGGACCCGCAAGUGCUUUGUGAAAUCCCACGGCUCAACCGUGGAAUGGCUUGGCAUACUGCGGGUCUUGAGGUCGGCAGAGGUCGCCGGAACUCUAGGUGUAGCGGUGAAAUGCGUAGAUAUCUAGAGGAACGCCCAUGGCGAAGGCAGGCGGCUGGGCCGAUUCUGACGCUGAGGCACGAAAGCGUGGGUAGCGAACGGGAUUAGAUACCCCAGUAGUCC
rnacentral:rRNA from 1 species